UACGAGAGGCCCAACCGUUAUUCGGAUUUACUGGGCUUAAAGAGUUCGUAGGCGGCGCAGAAAGUAGGGUGUGAAAGCCCUCGGCUCAACCGAGGAAUUGCGCCCUAAACUACUGUGCUUGAGGAAGCUAGAGGUGAGCAGAACAGAUGGUGGAGCGGUGAAAUGCGUUGAUAUCAUCUGGAAUACCGGAGGCGAAGGCGGCUCACUGGGGCUUUUCUGACGCUCAGGCACGAAAGCGUGGGGAGCAAACAGG
rnacentral:rRNA from 1 species